UACGAAGGGGGCUAGCGUUGCUCGGAAUUACUGGGCGUAAAGGGCGCGUAGGCGGCUCGUGAAGUCAGUGGUGAAAGCCCAGGGCUCAACUCUGGGUCGGCCACUGAUACUCGCGAGCUCGAGUUUGGUAGAGGCAGAUGGAAUUCCCGGUGGAGCGGUGAAAUGCGUUGAUAUCGGGAGGAACUCCGGCGGCGAAAGCGGUGCACUGGUGGAUUACUGACGCUGAGGUGCGAAAGCCAGGGGAGCAAACGGG
rnacentral:rRNA from 1 species